UACGUAGGGGGCAAGCGUUGUCCGGAUUUAUUGGGCGUAAAGCGCUCGCAGGUGGUCCGAUGCGUCGUGCGUGAAAGCCCCCGGCUCAACUGGGGAGGGUCAUUCGAUACUGAUCGACUCGAAGGCAGGAGAGGGUAGUGGAAUUCCCGGUGUAGUGGUGAAAUGCGUAGAUAUCGGGAGGAACACCAAUGGCGAAGGCAGCUCGCUGGAACGGUACUGACGCUGAGGCGCGAAAGCGUGGGAGCGAGCAGG
rnacentral:rRNA from 1 species